rnacentral:tRNA from 1 species
UAAGUCUUAGUGUAAUAAAACACUUAAAGUUUACACCUUUACAAUGCCUUUGGCAGAUUUAU